ensembl:snRNA U6 U6 spliceosomal RNA
GUGCUUGCUUCUCUUGUAGCACAUAUAUUAAAAUUGGAAUGUUACAGAGAAGAUUAUCAUGGCCCCUGAGCAAGGAAGACAUGCAAAUUCAUGAAGCCUUCCACACAUAU